AUACAUGCAAGUCGAACGAAGCUUUCUUUCAUCGAAUGCUUGCAUUCACCGAAAGAAGUUUAGUGGCGAACGGGUGGAGUAACACGUAGGCAACCUGCCCAAAAGAGGGGGAUAACACUUGGAAACAGGUGCUAAUACCGCAUAACCAUGAACACCGCAUGAUGUUCAUGUGAAAGACGGCUUUUGCUGUCACUUUUGGAUGGGCCUGCGGCGUAUUAACUUGUUGGUGGGGUAACGGCCUACCAAGGUGAUGAUACGUAGCCGAACUGAGAGGUUGAUCGGCCACAUUGGGACUGAGACACGGCCCAAACUCCUACGGGAGGCAGCAGUAGGGAAUCUUCCACAAUGGACGAAAGUCUGAUGGAGCAACGCCGCGUGAAUGAAGAAGGCCUUCGGGUCGUAAAAUUCUGUUGUCAGAGAAGAACGUGCGUGAGAGUAACUGUUCACGUAUUGACGGUAUCUGACCAGAAAGCCACGGCUAACUACGUGCCAGCAGCCGCGGUAAUACGUAGGUGGCGAGCGUUGUCCGGAUUUAUUGGGCGUAAAGGGAACGCAGGCGGUCUUUUAAGUCUGAUGUGAAAGCCUUCGGCUUAACCGAAGUAGUGCAUUGGAAACUGGAAGACUUGAGUGCAGAAGAGGAGAGUGGAACUCCAUGUGUAGCGGUGAAAUGCGUAGAUAUAUGGAAGAACACCAGUGGCGAAAGCGGCUCUCUGGUCUGUAACUGACGCUGAGGUUCGAAAGCGUGGGUAGCAAACAGGAUUAGAUACCCUGGUAGUCCACGCCGUAAACGAUGAGUGCUAAGUGUUGGAGGGUUUCCGCCCUUCAGUGCUGCAGCUAACGCAUUAAGCACUCCGCCUGGGGAGUACGGUCGCAAGACUG
rnacentral:rRNA from 1 species